GUAAUGCGAUGGUCAUCGGUUCGACUCCGAUAGCGGGCU
rnacentral:tRNA from 1 species